rnacentral:rRNA from 1 species
CACAAGCGGUGGAUGAUGUGGAUUAAUUCGAUGCAACGCGAAAACCUUACCUACCCUUGACAUGUCUGGAACCUUGGUGAGAGCCGAGGGUGCCUUCGGGAGCCGGAACACAGGUGCUGCAUGGCUGUCGUCAGCUCGUGUCGUGGGAUGUUGGGUUAAGUCCCGCAACGAGCGCAACCCUUGUCACUAGUUGCCAUCAUUUAGUUGGGCACUCUAGUGAGACUGCCGGUGACAAACCGGAGGAAGGUGGGGAUGACGUCAAGUCCUCAUGGCCCUUAUGCCUGGGGCGGCACACGUGCUACAAUGGAUAGGACAGAAAGACGCAAGACCGCGAGGUGGAGCAAAUCUUUAAACCUAUUCUCAGUUCGGAUUGGAGUCUGCAACUCGACUCCAUGAAGCUGGAAUCGCUAGUAAUCGCGGAUCAGCCAUGCCGCGGUGAAUACGUUCCCGGGUCUU